CCAGUUAAGACGGGGCUUUAAAGUAGCCAGCCCUGACCCAGUGUCCCAAGUGUAGGGGCAGAGGAAAAAUAUACACUCAACUAUUUUAAAGCCCCGAAACAACCUCUCCCAUCCCCUCCCCUGGAAGUUUGUUCUGGCCGGGGUCGCUCAGGUCUGCUCAGGUGGACAGGGGCCAGGGACCGUGCGGGUGUUCGGCGUGGACACAGAGUAAGCGGCUUGAAAGUAAACACGACGCCUGCGGCUUCCCCGGCAUUCCUUAUUCAACGUGCACGGCCGUCCCUCUUCACCGCAGGGCAGCGCUGAGGUCCCACUCCUCGGGGGUCAGCACCGGCCCCGCUCCCCUCCCAGGCGACAGAGCUCUGGUGCCACACGGAGUGAGUACACACACGUGUGCAUACACAUGCACGCACAGACGGUCAGCAGCCACCCAGCGAUUCCCGGGGCUGUCCGGCCCUUGUUUUCAUGGCGCAACCGCCCAGCUGCAGCCGCUCUGCGCUGCGCGGCUGCCCGGCUCCCCCCGGCCCCCCGCGAGCCCCGG
rnacentral:lncRNA from 1 species